rnacentral:rRNA from 1 species
GACGAACGCUGGCGGCGUGCUUAACACAUGCAAGUCGAACGGAAAGGCCCUGCUUUUGUGGGGUGCUCGAGUGGCGAACGGGUGAGUAACACGUGAGUAACCUGCCCUUGACUUUGGGAUAACUUCAGGAAACUGGGGCUAAUACCGGAUAAGAGCUCCUGUUGCAUGGUGGGGGUUGGAAAGUUUCGGCGGUUGGGGAUGGACUCGCGGCUUAUCAGCUUGUUGGUGGGGUAGUGGCUUACCAAGGCUUUGACGGGUAGCCGGCCUGAGAGGGUGACCGGCCACAUUGGGACUGAGAUACGGCCCAGACUCCUACGGGAGGCAGCAGUGGGGAAUAUUGCACAAUGGGCGGAAGCCUGAUGCAGCAACGCCGCGUGCGGGAUGACGGCCUUCGGGUUGUAAACCGCUUUCGCCUGUGACGAAGCGUGAGUGACGGUAAUGGGUGAAGAAGCACCGGCUAACUACGUG